rnacentral:rRNA from 1 species
AACGUAGGAGACAAACGUUAUCCGGAGUUACUGGGCGUAAAGGGCGUGUAGGCGGUCUGUUAAGUCUGGCGUGAAAGCUCUCGGCUAAACCGGGAGAGGUCGUUGGAUACUGGCAGACUAGAGGACGGUAGAGGCGUGUGGAAUUCCGGGUGUAGUGGUGAAAUGCGUAGAUAUCGGGAGGAACACCAGUGGCGAAGGCGACUACCUGGCCUGUUCUUGACGCUGAGGCGCGAAAGCUAGGGGAGCAAACGGG